CCAGCCGCCGCGGUAACACCGGCGGCCCGAGUGGUGAUCGUGAUUAUUGGGUCUAAAGGGUCCGUAGCCGGUUUGGUCAGUCCUCCGGGAAAUCUGAUAGCUCAACUAUUAGGCUUUCGGGGGAUACUGCCAGACUUGGAACCGGGAGAGGUAAGAGGUACUACAGGGGUAGGAGUGAAAUCUUGUAAUCCCUGUGGGACCACCUGUGGCGAAGGCGUCUUACCAGAACGGGUUCGACGGUGAGGGACGAAAGCUGGGGGCACGAACCGGAUUAGAUACCCGGGUAGUCCCAGCCGUAAACGAUGCUCGCUAGGUGUUCAGGCAUGGCGCGACCGUGUCUGGUGCCGCAGGGAAGCCGUGAAGCGAGCCACCUGGGAAGUACGGCCGCAAGGCUGAAACUUAAAGGAAUUGGCGGGGGAGCACAACAACGGGUGGAAGCCUGCGGUUUAAUUGGACUCAACGCCGGACAACUCACCGGGGGCGACAGCAAUAUGUAGGCCAAGCUGAAGACUUUGCCUGAAUCGCUGAGGGGAGGUGCAUGG
rnacentral:rRNA from 1 species